rnacentral:rRNA from 1 species
UGGGGAAUCUUGCACAAUGGGGGAAACCCUGACGCAGCGACGCCGCGUGAACGAUGAAGCCCUUCGGGGUGUAAAGUUCUUUCGGCAGGAACGAUAAUGACGGUACCUGGAGAAGAAGCUGCGGCUAACUACGUGCCAGCAGCCGCGGUAAUACGUAGGCAGCGAGCGUUGUUCGGAGUUACUGGGCGUAAAGAGUGCGUAGGCGGCGAGCCAAGUUUGGUGUGAAAUCUCCCGGCUUAACCGGGAGGGUGCGCCGAAAACUGGUUGGCUGGAGUAUGGGAGAGGAAAGCGGAAUUCCUGGUGUAGCGGUGAAAUGCGUAGAUAUCAGGAGGAACACCUGCGGUGUAGACAGCUUUCUGGACCAAAACUGACGCUGAGGCACGAAAGCGUGGGUA